rnacentral:lncRNA from 1 species
UAAUCUCCUCAUCCCACAAUCUUCCUGUUUCCUUUGUUGGCUCAGCUAGUCAUAAUCACCAAGCUCGCGUUCGAUCCAACGCGGCGUUAAAUCCAUCAUACAUAGCCAAAAUCCACUUCCAUGACAUCCCAACACCUGAUUUUGACUCACCUGCACCUGAUCCUAAUGCAUUGAGCAAAUUUCCAGCUCAACUCAUACCAUCUUAUAAUGCUUGCACGCUUCUUCGCGAGCCUAUCGCUUUGUUACUUGGUGAACUCUCGUCUAAAUCAAGACGAGUUGUCGUUGUUCAUGAUGCUUUAAUGUCCUAUAAUGUUCAGGAUGAUUGUUCCUUGCAUAAUACUGAGUCUUAUGUAUUUAACUGUGUUUCUGUUUUCUUUAUGUAUUGUAGUUUUGUAUGUAUACCUAAUGGUUUGCCUAUUCCACUUGAUGAAGAUUUACUUAAAAAGGUACCUAAACUUGAAGCUGAUGCACCAGAUGAGAUCAAUAAGAUAGUGGAUUUUCAACUUCAGUAUAAGGAUAUUAGAGCUGGUGAUUUAUACAAUUCAAACAAAGUACUUGAAGGUACUGUUACGGUUCGACUUGAUUUUCUACCGUCAUUAGAAUUACCUUUCUCGAUGGAAAAUGUUUCGUAUUUGGUUAAAUCGAGUUUGAAGGGGAGCCUUGGAGUAACUGGUAAAGUUGUUGCCAUGUAACCAGGAGGUGCAAGGUAAGGCUGCGUACAAUGCACCCUUGAGGUGGGGCCCGCGCAUAGCGGUCGCUUUAGUGCACCGGGCUGCCCUUUUUAGUCUGUUCAUAUUAGAAGUCAUAGUAUUGUUCCUGUAGUUUCUUGAUUUCUGCCACUAUUUGUUGUUUCUUGUACUCGGUCAAGAUAAGGCUGCGUACGAUGCACCCUUGAGGUGGUGCCCGCGCAUAGUGGUCGCUUUAGUGCACCGGACUGCCCUUUUUAGUCUGUUCAUAUUAGAAGUCGUAGUAUUGCUCCUGUAUUUCUUGUCCUUUAACUUUUGUUGCUAUUCGUUGUUUCUUGAACUCGGUUAUUGCGUUGUUUCUGUUGUAGUUUCCGUUUUGUUACUAUCUGCUAUUUUUGUUAUUAUUUGUUGUUUCUCAUACUUCCAUAAGUCCUUUUUGGGACCACUUUUGGACUGCGUUUUCAUGAGCUGGUGGUUUAUUGUACACGACCUGUCUACCUCUGAGGUAGGGGUAAGGUCCGCGUACAAUCUACCCUCCGCAGCCCCACUUUCAUGACCGCGUACAAUAUAGUUUUCUUUGUCGUCUGAUUUAUCGCUAUCAUGGCAUGUCGCCCCGACUAUUUCGUUCCAACAGGUGCUUCUCUUGAUUUGAUGGCAAAAAUUGCAAGUACAGAAAACAAGAAGCAAUGGGCAAUCGGACCGAUUUUGCCUACUAAACAAGAUCAUGUAUCAGAUAAGAGAAACAAGUGUUUAGAUUGGCUUGAUAACCAACCUCCAAGAUCAGUUAUUUAUGUAUCUUUUGGAUCAUCAACUACAUUUUCUGAUAAAGAAGUCAUGGAGCUCGCGAUGGGAUUAGAGAGAAGCAAACAGAAGUUUCUAUGGGUGUUGAGACUGCGAACAGCCUGUCUAACCUCUUCUACCUUAAAACGUCUACUUUUAUAGAACACAACCAACAAAAAUGUCUUCAAUAUACCUUCACUUCAUUUCUCAAAUCCUGUUCUUGUUUUCUCCAUGGAUAACAUGAAUAAGAACCUUGAAGUAGUUAUAGUAAUGGUUCCAUUUCCAGCACAAAGCCAUCUCAAUCAACUGCUUCAAUUUGCUUGUUUAAUCUCCUCAUCACACAAUCUUCCUGUUUACUUUGUUGGCUCAGCUAGUCAUAAUCACCAAGCUCGCGUUCGAUCCAACGCGGCGUUAAAUCCAUCAUACAUAGCCAAAAUCCACUUCCAUGACAUCCCAACACCUGAUUUUGACUCACCUGCACCUGAUCCUAAUGCAUUGAGCAAAUUUCCAGCUCAACUCAUACCAUCUUAUAACGCUUGCACGCUUCUUCGAGAGCCGAUCGCUUUGUUGCUUCGUGAACUCUCGACUAAAUCAAGACGAGUUGUCGUUGUUCAUGAUGCUUUAAUGUCCUAUAAUGUUCAGGAUGAUUGUUCCUUGC